GUUUGUUUAACAUAUAUGUUCCACCAUAGACAGCACUAAGGCGAGCAAAUGCCUGUGGAAGCUCUCCUAAUCCAUGUAGAGGAUAGAUGUACGGAGACCCUCCUUGAAAGCGUGCAAGAGACUCCGCAUAAAGCUUCAUUCUCUUUACUGUAUCUAAUGCAGGCAGAUCAAGAUAACGAUCAUCUCUAUGAAGUGCCAAUGCAUGACCAAUGAAGUCAAUAGUGUUGUCAUCCAGUCCAUACUUUCUGUUAACCGUAUCAAUUCAUAUAAGCACAUUCUAUACAAAU
rnacentral:misc_RNA from 1 species